ensembl:snRNA U6 U6 spliceosomal RNA
GUGCCCACUCUGGCAGCCCGUUUGCUAAAACUGGAACAACACAGAGAUGAGCAUGGCCCUGCACAAGGAUGACAUGCAAACGCAUGAAGUGUUCCAUAGUUUU